AUUGAACGCUGGCGGCAGGCCUAACACAUGCAAGUCGAACGAGUGGCGGACGGGUGAGUAAUGUCUGGGAAACUGCCCGAUGGCGGGGGAUAACUACUGGAAACGGUAGCUGAUACCGCAUACCAUCGGAUGUUCCCAGAUGGGAUUAGCUAGUAGGUGGGGUAACGGCUACCUUAGGCGACGAUCCCUAGCUGGUUUGAGAGGGUGACCGGCACAACGGGAACUGUGACCCGGUCCAGAUUCCUACGGUGGGAGGAAGUGGGAAAUAUUGGAAAAUGGGCGAAAGCUGGACGCAGCCAGGCCGGGUGGAGGAAGAAGGUGUUCGGGUGUUAAAGUACUUUCAUCGAGGAGGCGUUACUCGCAGAAGAAGCCCCGGCUAACUCCGUGCCAGCCGCCGCGGUAAUUC
rnacentral:rRNA from 1 species